GAAUCAAAGCAAUAUUAGAGAGGCUGUUUCCGGAAUCUCCGACCACCGCCACCACCAAAUCCAAGCCUAAUAAUAGCGAUAAUAAUCAUCUAUAUAAUAACGGCUCCUCUGCUUCCACCACCACCAGGAGGUUGUCUACUUUCAAGUCCAUGAUUUGGUUUGCUAAACCACAGACAUGUAUUGCCAGCCUUCAUGCCAAGAGCUCAGGAUGGAGAGGCUCACUAAAAUUUUCCUCUAUGGUAUUGAAAAGUUCAUUAAACUGCCGGCGGACUUUAAGGGGAACAGAAGAUGGAAACACAGAAAGCAUGUGCAGUCCCAAAGUAUGCUUCUCUUAAUUAAUAUUUCUGCCAAACUCUAAACGAAACUCUAAGGACAAAUUGGUCAUUUCAAUGCUCUGCAUGUCAGCGAUGGA